rnacentral:rRNA from 2 species
AGCGGCGGACGGGUGAGUAACACGUGGGUAACCUGCCUGUAAGACUGGGAUAACUCCGGGAAACCGGGGCUAAUACCGGAUGCUUGAUUGAACCGCAUGGUUCAAUCAUAAAAGGCGGCUUCGGCUGCCGUUUACAGAUGGACCCGCGGCGCAUUAGCUAGUUGGUGAGGUAAUGGCUCACCAAGGCGACGAUGCGUAGCCGACCUGAGAGGGUGAUCGGCCACACUGGGACUGAGACACGGCCCAGACUCCUACGGGAGGCAGCAGUAGGGAAUCUUCCGCAAUGGACGAAAGUCUGACGGAGCAACGCCGCGUGAGUGAUGAAGGUUUUCGGAUCGUAAAGCUCUGUUGUUAGGGAAGAACAAGUACCGUUCGAAUAGGGCGGUACCUUGACGGUACCUAACCAGAAAGCCACGGCUAACUACGUGCCAGCAGCCGCGGUAAUACGUAGGUGGCAAGCGUUGUCCGGAAUUAUUGGGCGUAAAGCGCGCGCAGGCGGUUUCUUAAGUCUGAUGUGAAAGCCC